AGCCCCAACCUCCCGGAGAAAAAUCAACCGUUCUCACUGCAGAGGUGGGAGUGCCUCUACAGUGUGGGUUUGCUGGGAUUCCUGUCUUUUCUAGGACUGGGUGUGCAGAACUCUGGAUCCUGAUCAGCAUUGCUACAUGUACAGGGGGCCUUGGAUUGUGCCAGAGGGUCACAGAGGGUCAUGACUUGAUGAAGACAUCCCUGACUUCAUCCCUGGGACCACUGACCCAAUUCGAGACUACCAACCCAAUCUGAGAGAAGAAUUGUGCAUGUGUGAAGGACUAAUAACUUCAUUUUAAUACAAAGUGGGGAUGGGAGGUGCUGGGGUUGUGCAUAUGUAUUAUUUUGGGAAAUAAAAAGAAGGCAAAAAUCCUCGUGCAGCUUUAAUAAACAUACCACUUUCUAA